GCCUACGACCAUGUCACCCUGAAUGUGCCCGAUCUCGUCUGAUCUCGGAAGCUAAGCAUGGUCGAGCCUGAUUAGUACUCGGAUGGGAGACUGCCUGGGAAUACCAGGUGUUGUAGGCU
rnacentral:rRNA from 1 species